UCAGCUUACAUGUGCAGAUUGUUACUCUAAGGUUCCUGAGAAUGCCCCCUUGCCGGCUCGGGAAGCUGCAAACAAGGGAUGAUGGAAGGAGGCUCGGGGAACCCAGACGGAAACAAGGCAUUCAGAACCAUUCAGCACAGCCUGGUGCAGAUGCGUACAGAAAGAACAGUCACAUGCAACGAAAGGAGGGGUACCAUGAAAGGCAGAGUCACAAACAACAUGCUGAAGGAUCAAAGAGGAAGAAUAGCCAGUGUUCAGAAAGACUUCGUGGAGGAAAGGAUGUCCAUGCGUCAGCAGCUAAAGGAUGGACGAGUCUUCCCGCUGCCCCCCCCCCCCCCCCAGUGAUCACCAUUUGGGAAAAUGCCCUACAGCUGCAUAUCAUGGAAUCAUUUCCUUAGCUGAGGCUCCUUCCUCUCUGAUGACUCUAGCUUGUGUCAAGUUGACACCCAAAACCAACCAGUACAGAAGGGUUUCAAAAUUGAGAUAUAUUUCAAUGUUCAUUUUCAGUAGUCUUGCAUAGUCAACGGAAUAUUAAAUUGUGAUCAUAAGGUAAUUACUGAUUGGAAGAAGAA
rnacentral:lncRNA from 1 species